UCUUAUGGAUAAGCACAGAAGUGGUUUCUUGAGAUGGAGUUUACUCCUGGUGAAGAUGCUGUGAA
rnacentral:pre_miRNA from 1 species